rnacentral:misc_RNA from 1 species
GAUGAAGAACGUAGCGAAAUGCGAUAAGUAAUGUGAAUUGCAGAAUUCAGUGAAUCAUCGAAUCUUUGAACGCACAUUGCGCCCGCCAGUAUUCUGGCGGGCAUGCCUGUCCGAGCGUCAUUUCAACCCUCGAACCCCUCCGGGGGGUCGGCGUUGGGGAUCGGCCCUCCCUUAGCGGGUGGCCGUCUCCGAAAUACAGUGGCGGUCUCGCCGCAGCCUCUCCUGCGCAGUAGUUUGCACACUCGCAUCGGGAGCGCGGCGCGUCCACAGCCGUUAAACACCCAACUUCUGAAAUGUUGACCUCGGAUCAGGUAGGAAUACCCGCUGAACUUAAGCAUAUCAUAAGCGAGGA